GAGCUUCCCUGCCUCGGUUUGAAGGGACCGCUGGGCUGCCUGAUUACGCGCCCCCGGCCGAGCCUGCGCACUGGGGACGCAGUCGGCCCUCGCGUCCUCUGCUGCCCGAAACAAGCGCGUGGAAAGCUUGGUCGGGGCUUCUCACAGCCGCGCGCACAGACUGGUUCUCCCCCCGCGUCUCCCGGGAGCGUCGCCGCCACCUGCACGCGUCCGGCACACAAACGUCGGUCUCACCCCUUAGUUUCUGGAAGAGAAAAAGGAAAAGCCACCGAGAGGCCUGACCCUGAGGGGUCGGGGGGAGAUGCGGGCGCGUAGUAGAGGGAAGCGACUGAGGAGCGGGGACUGGGCAGCAUUUGAAUGGAUGCGGGUGCCGCUGGCACCCGGGAAGACGCCUGGGAGCCGGCGCUGGGGAGCCGGGCAUGGGCUGGGAUGUGUUUGGAUUCCAAUCUGGGCCUGACACCAGUUCAGUGACCUCGGGAAGUUCCCCAACCCUGCGGGCCUGUUUCCUCCCUCUGAAGUGGCGACAGUAAUAGAACCGACCUCGUAGGCUCAUCGGGAGGUCCUGAUGGGAGAACCCAUGCAACUUGCCACCACAGAGCCAGGCCCGCGGCGACUGGCUCCUGGUGGGUAUUAAAGACGAGUCGGGAAAGAAGAGCAGGCUCAAUCAAACCUUCAAUGGCCCCGAAAGACAUCUUGAUUGAAACCUCAUGAGAGACUCUGAGCCAGAAAACCCAGCAACUUAGAACCCAGAUACCUGACCAUCAGC
rnacentral:lncRNA from 10 species